AUGAAUUUCUUCCAUGAUGAAGAAACUCCAUACCUACCGAGGGAAAAAAUUCAGGAAGUCUUGGGAUAUUUUGAUGAACAAUGCAUGUCGAAUGACAGUUGGUCUGAACCAAGAGAUUGUUAUUAUAUACCAGCUUUCUACUCUAUACCGUAUGGUUUGUUCGGAGAUGAGUACUUUGAUAACAAAAAGGAUGCAUAUUCUCCGUCUCCGUUGUUUUUUAUUGUUCACGAGGGUGCAUAUGAGCUCGGGUGCAGAAACUUCAUGUUCGUAUGUGUCAGCAUUAUGGGCUAUGGCUAUACAUGA
rnacentral:rRNA from 1 species